GAACAAAAAUUGUCCUAUGAGCUUGAACAGUUACGAAAGCGGUGGCGGUGGAAUAAACCAUAUUGUAGAACAAAGGAGAAGAAGCAGGACAUACGAACGAACGAUGCAAAUCAACUAAACUAAAAGGACAACCAAGAACCGUGCCAUCGAGAACCAACUCAUCAUGCCUUAGAGCACCUACGUUGCCAGUUCCUGAUGCAAUUGUCACACGCGAGUGGAAUCUCGGGUCAUUCUUCCUGGUAGUUGUUUUUUACUUGAGGAAGCUAGAGCAUCAGAAUAGCGGCGUUGAACCAGUAGUUGCUGCAAAUUGAACAAUGAAGUUCAACAAUGAGGCUUUCAGUUCUAUGAAAAAUGCACAGUGCUCAAUCUUUUUAGAAGAAUACUAAGAGAAGCAAGUACUCAGACUCAUGCUUAAGUUUCGCCACAGUUUUGAUCUCUCUUGCAUCAAUGUGUGGUGGAGAAAACAGUCUACCUGUCCAAUUUGUUGGUUGCCCUCACAAGAAACAUUGGGCACAAAGCAUAUCGGAGAUUUUGAUGGAGCAUUCUCAGCAAUGGAUACAAAGAGGUGCUGAAACUUUUGAUUCACAGAUCUUUUGCUUUGUAUAAUUUGCAUCCCUUUUGUAAUCAGCUUCCAGGUUUUGAUUCCUAUUUCUCAUACAAUUGAUU